rnacentral:rRNA from 1 species
UACGUAGGGGGCAAGCGUUGUCCGGAAUCAUUGGGCGUAAAGAGCGUGUAGGCGGCCCGGUAAGUCCGUUGUGAAAGUCCAGGGCUCAACCCUGGAAAGCCGAUGGAUACUGCCGGGCUAGAGUUCGGAAGAGGCGAGUGGAAUUCCUGGUGUAGCGGUGGAAUGCGCAGAUAUCAGGAGGAACACCGGUGGCGAAGGCGGGUCUCUGGGCCGAUACUGACGCUGAGGAGCGAAAGCGUGGGGAGCGAACAGG